rnacentral:rRNA from 1 species
AACAAGGUUUCCCUUGAAACAAGUUUUCUCGGAGCGAUCUCAUGAUCCUUCCGCAGUGUACACUUGCUGAAGCCUUAGCGGGUCCAAAAAGACCGGUACCAUCGCGACUGAAAAUAAUGGAGACCAGCCAGCCUACAUUCCGUGUAGGUCAGGCGCGCUAGUCGUGGACAGAGAUGUCUGCGGCGACACUAUCGAAUUGACGGGGAUCCCCUAAAGACGAUGAUACCAACCCUGCGGCGAAAGCCAAUGGGGGCCCGAGCUAAUCACUCGGGGUGUGGUAAUAAAUCAUCGUAUGAUCCGCAUGCGCCGAAGUGGACGCGUGUGCGGUGAAAUGGGCAAUCCGCAGCCAACGCCUAAGGUUAAACCUGGUUUAACUAUGGUAGGGGUUCACAGACUAAGUGGUAGUGGGUGUGGCUCGUCAGAGCCAUGCUUAAGAUAUAGUCGGGCCCCCGGGGAAACCUGGGGGGUAAGUACACUGCAAACCAGUUUGCAGAUUGCCUUGGUGGAUGUCCCUCCUGCGUGCUGCGGGUUCGACGUGAAGCCUCGGUCAAUCAAAUGACCACAACAAACCGUUCCGUAGGUGAACCUGCGGAAGGAUCAUU